rnacentral:lncRNA from 1 species
CCCGUUUACAAGUCUCCACCACCUCCAACUCCUGUUUACAAAUCACCACCACCACCCAAGGACCCACACUACCCUCCACACACCCCAAUUUACAAGUCACCACCACCACCCAAAGAACCACACUACCCACCACAUACCCCAGUGUACAAGUCUCCACCACCACCAACUCCAGUAUACAAGUCACCACCACCACCCAAGAGGCCAUACCAUCCUCCACCAACACCAUAUCAUCCCACACCAGUUUAUAAGUCUCCACCACCACCAACUCCAGUGUACAAGUCACCACCACCCCCAACUCCCGUUUACAAAUCACCACCACCACCAGUGAAGCCAUACCAUCCCGCACCAGUAUACAAGUCUCCACCACCCCCAACUCCCAUUUACAAAUCACCACCACCACCAGUGAAGCCAUACCAUCCUAAACCUGUGUACAAGUCUCCACCACCACCAGUGAAGCCAUAUCAUCCUACACCCGUCUACAAGUCUCCACCACCACCAACUCCCGUCUACAAGUCACCACCACCACCAGUGAAGCCAUACCAUCCUACACCCGUCUACAAGUCUCCACCACCACCAACUCCCGUCUACAAGUCGCCACCACCACCAGUGAAGCCAUACCAUCCUACACCCGUAUACAAGUCUCCACCACCACCAACUCCCGUUUACAAGUCACCACCACCACCAGUGAAGCCAUAUCAUCCCUCACCAACACCAUACCACCCUACACCAGUAUACAAGUCUCCACCACCACCAACUCCCGUUUACAAGUCCCCACCACCACCAGUAAAGCCAUACCACCCUUCACCAACACCAUACCAUCCUAAACCAGUAUACAAGUCUCCACCACCACCAACUCCAGUCUACAAGUCUCCACCACCAACCCACUAUGUUUACUCCUCUCCCCCUCCUCCCUACCAUUACUAAGAAGUGAGUUUACUAUAUCUGAGGUAAUUAAGAUGAACUUAAACCUUUACAAACAUAUAUAACUAAAAUGCAAUGCAAUAAUAAGUUGCACAAUUAUUUCUUCUCUUUUGGUUAGUUUCUUUUAUAUGUUCUCAUUCACAAUAUUAUAUUGUUAUGCAGGAAAAGCAUAAUGUUGAGCUGAAAGAAAGGCAUUUUCCAUUUUCAAGAAGAAAAUUAUAGUAAAUAAUAAGGCUUACAGAAGAUCAGACGAAGUUCUUUUGUAGCUUCAUGUUAUCUAACUUGUCUUAGUGAUAUAUUGUUUUUGUACUCUAUUUUUAUAUAUUACUUUUAUGUGUCUUUGUGUAUGUUUGCUCACUUUCAAUCUUCUUGCAAAAUGCAGAGAUUAAUUAUGAGAUUAUCAUGAAUAAAAUAAGUUAUUACUACUCCCAUAUGUUUUAAUUAACUUCUCAUCACAAUAUAUAUUACCUUUGUUUUCAUUUUAUCAUGUGCUCAUAUUUAAUUUAUAAAAUUAUAAUGUGAACACAACAUUUACAAUUUUUUUCAAAUAGAACUAUUUAUAUAUAUAUAUAUAUAUAUAUAUAUAUAUAUAUAUAUAUAUAACAGGAUGCUCAAAUUAAUAACCAACGAAUUUCAUGUACUUAUGGUUAUAAUUCAAUCAAAUUCGAGUAUUGUAGUCCAUUUACGAUAACAAAAUAAAAAAAUUAUUUAAUAAUCACAUAAUACGUUGUUAAACUUUUGUAAAGUAUAUGAUUUCAGAAGCUCAAACAAAAAAUUACAAUCCAAAUAUUUUAAAAAUAAUAGUUUAAAAUUUUCACGCAUCACAUAAAUAUAUAUACUUACUCCAAGCCUAUCCUAUCCGAAAUUUUCAGCUAUUGAUGUAGCCUCUUGUCGAUACUACUAGUCUUCUCGCUACCUACUAGAAAAAUUCCAUCAAAAUAGAUUGAAUCGACGACCUAUACUUCAACUAAAGGCACGAGGGCGUAGCGAGCUUAACUAUUAUCGUAAUAUAAGAUGAAAUCCACCCAUUUUGAUAUCACAUACACGUCUUUAAAACUGAUAAAAUAAUGAGGUCUACUCUUAGUCAAAAUUAAAUGAUUGUAGACCACAUCUACAGUUCCCAAUUGUCAACAAUUCGAUCCUCCGCGUUUGUGGUAGGUUUCACUUUCAUUUCUUCGGUUCGAUUUUAUCAAAUUUUAAUUUGAUUCUUUAAUUUUUAAUUUUGGAAAAAUGUGUAUGGAAUGUUGAAUCGAAUUAAUUUGUUUAAUUAUCUUUUUAAAAAAUUAGUUUAAAACAAAAAUUGAAUUUCAAUAAAAUUUAAUGAAAAAAUUAUUCAAAUUGAUUAGGUAACCUUUUAAGUCAAAUAUCAAUAGUUGAAUAAUUUUAUAGGUAAAAUAUUCAUAAUUGAGUGACUUUGAGAUCAUACAAGAAAAUUGAGUGACUUUAUAAGAGAAAAAAUCUUAGUUAAAAUAAUUUUUUAUGAGAAAAAAUUCUUAAGUAACUUUAUGGCAUUAUAAAAAAAAAUUAACUCCUCUUUAAAUUAGAAUUACAAAAUUAAAAGUAAGUUCCAUUUUAAAGAUAAGGACAUUAUUAGUAAAAAUAAUUGGUGAACAUUUUCCAAUGAAAAAAUAAUAUUUUUCUAAAAUAGCUAAUAGAUGAUAAUUCGUUUCUUAGGCGUAAAAAUGUUAGGACAUGUUAGCCUCACUCAGUUGAAUAAAUUGCUCACCAAGAACAUAAUCAUUGAAUAUCCUAAAACAAAGUUUAAAAAUGAAUUAAAAAAAAAAUCAGUAAUAAAAAAAUACAUGCAAACUAUCUACAAAUGUAUUAUUAUUAAUUUUUAAAUAAAAAAGAGUAAAUGAAAGAGAAUAGAAGAUCUUUGACUUGUUAAUUAAGACAAAUAUUUGUCUAAUAUAAGUAUGUCGGUAAUAACAAUGUAGACUAAGAUCUGUACUUGUUUAUAUAUCCAUAUCCCUUAAUGUUAGGACCAUUAAAAUUAUUAAUUUAGUUUAACUAAUUAAUGGGAUCUUAUAAAUACAUUAAUAAUAUUACUGUUGUCGGUGAUUAAGUUAAUGCUAAUACUUAAUUGUUUUUUUUUUCCAAUUAAAAUGUCAAAGUCGUUAGAUGAACCAAAAUGGAAUCGUCCAUGAAGAUGGUACCAGAGUACAAUUAUUGAAUAAUAUCUUUUUUUUUUAACUUCAAAAAUUAAAGUGGAAUUCAAUUACCUACUUUAUAAAUGUAUGGCAACUUGGCAAUAAUUCAUUAAAUUUCAGGAAGAACAAAAACCAUCGAUAAUUGAGAUUAAUUUAAGAGAUAAAUGUCAAAAACACAUUUAAUAUAUUACAUAUUUUAAAAAAAUUCAUACUUCACCCCGUCUCUUUUCGAAAAAAUUGAUAUUAUUUUAUUUUUUUAAAAAUAGGAAUUCUAUCCAUCCUAUAUAACCUCCUGUACCUAAUUUUUUUAUAUAUAUUUUUGUGAGUUUGUAUUAGAUAUGUACAUAUAUUUUUAGGAAUUCUUUCUACUUGUGUACCAAAUAUAAAGUAAAUAAAACAUUUAUUUUUUAAAAAAGUCUUGAGGCCGUGGCAAAUAAAAAUUAUUUUCAAUAUGUUUAUAUCUAACACAAAAGGAGAAAAAGUUCGAAAGCGGACGGUUAGGUGGGGUAGGUAUAUUUUUUUUAAAGCAAAUUAGUAUAUAUAUUUUUUUGUGUGUGUGGGGUUGGGGGGGGGGGGGGGGUAAAAAAAAGUUAAAUACCUUUACAAAAGAAAUUUAAACAAAAAAAACUAAAAAAAAAAAGGGUGGGGGGAGGGUUGGACGGUUAGAGAAAGUGAUGGAGUGGGUAGGGAGGCGAGCAAAAUUGGGAGGGAGACGAGCAAACUUUGUACGUAUCGUAACCCAGAACAUGUGAAUCAAGCAAGAUACACACUAGGUACAUGUAUUUGUACGUGUCUAGAGGAAUUCACAUAUAUCUGGGAUAUCAUAUUCUUGGAAGAAUGACGAGCAAAAUGGAACAGAGGCAAGGAAGGAAAACGAGAUAUACUAUGUAUCCCAAAUACAUGCGAAUUCAAUAAAUAUAAUGUAUCUAGAACAAAUUACACCUAAAUUUGAUCGAGAUAUUCGAGAUACAUGUAUCUCAAGGCACCAAAAUCUGAUUUUUAUAUAUAUAUAUAUAUAUAUGAAAGUUUAUGUGAUCGAUAAAACUAAUAGCUUAGUAUUUCAAUGGUAUCAUUUCUACACAAAAUAGUUCUACCUCAAUUUAUGACAAAAAUGAUUUUAUUUAUAUGAGAUCAAAUUUAUAGGGUUUCGAUGACCAUGAUAAAACAGGAGAAUGUACAAAAAUACUUAAGUCCUUGUUUAUAAUAUACCAUUUUGCCAAAAUAUUUGUAGCUCGAUUAACUUUCUUAUAGAAAUGUUGAACCUUUCAAAUAAUAGUGCUUGAUAUAAUGAUAUAUUGUAAAUAUGAAAAGUGAUGUUUUUCAUUUUCCAAAGAAUACCACUAAAAUAGUUCUUUCUAACAUCAUGUAUAAAUUUUUAUGCAAGUAAAACAUUUUAAAUAAUAAUCUACGAAACUUGUUAUUUGAUCCUCAUAGAUAUUAUAACAUUUAGUUUUAGUGCUUAUGAAAAUAAUUUUGUUAGAACAAUAUUUCCAUUAUACGUAUAAAAAGUUCACAUUGUUCUUUGUUUUUAAAGAUACAAUAUCCUAAUUAUUUCAUUGUUAUUCCAUCUCUAUUAUUCAUUGAGCAUAAUUUGAAUAAUUUAUUUUUAUCAUAUUAUUACCAAUAUAAUCAUAGAAAGUCAAAUAAGAAAACUAAUUUUCCUUGUUACUAUUUCUUUGAUUAAUUGGAAUUAGAGACGACUAGUUAUUAUUAUGAGCAACUUUCACAUAUAGCAAACAAAAAAUUUAUAUUUGUAUGCUAAUUAAGCUCCAUAGCAAACAUAAAACUGUAUAAUUUGCUAUACAUAUACAAUUGUAUAAUUCGCUGGCCUAUUUCGCUGCAAUAGUAUAAUUUGUUUUGCAUACAGUUGAAUCGAAUUAAAAUGUAUGUAUAUUGCAUAAUUAUAAGUGUAUAGCAAGAAGAUAUAUGUUUUUCUCGCUUUAUACAAAAACAGAAACACAAUAUAUACACUUUUGUUGUAUAAAGCUAGAGAAAAUUGUAUUUCACUGCAAUUGUAUAAUUCGCAAUUGUAUAAUUCGUUGGCCUUUUUCUCUGCAAUAUUUGAAGUAAAAUGUUUGCAAAUUGUGUAAUUAAGUGUAUAACAUGAAGAUAUACAUUUUUGCAUGUGUAUAUACAAUUUUCUCUCGCUUUAUACAAAACAGAAACAGAAUUAUACACUUCUGUGUAUAAAGCGGGAGAGGCGAGCGAGAAUGGAGAGUGGCGAGCGAGAUUUUUGGGAGAGAGACGCUGGCAAAUUUUAGCUAAUGUUUGCUAUGGAGCAAAAUUAAAUCAAAUCCUAGCUAUUCCAUUUAAUUUAGGUUAUUAGUUUGCUAUUAUAUACAAUUUUUUCUAUUAUUAUUAAUCGGAUGCAUUUCACUCCGCACAUAAAUAACUUCCAAUAAUUUAAUAUUAAUUAUAUAUGCUCUAUUAAAUAAUUUUUAAAUAUAAAAUAAUAUUAUGGUAGAUUUGGGGGUGUCAAAAUCAAGUCAAUUUGUCAAACUCCCCUAUUCCAUUUAAUUUAUCAACUUUAACUCAUCUCAACCUAAUUUAGUUUAAUUCAUAUUUAAACAGUGAAUUGAUAUAUAAUUCAAAUUAGCUUAUCAAAAUAUUUUUAAAAUAAUAUUUUUAAAAUUUGAUAUGUUAUAUAUAGUCGUAAUAAAGAAAAAAAUAAACUUAUUAGGUGCUAAAAAAUUUUAAAAAGAGCAAACUAAACAACUAAAUUUUAGUAAAAAUUGAAGGGGUUAUAUUAGAAAUCGAAUUUAACUUAAUUAUGUCCAAUUCAUUUCAAUUCAAAUAGACAAUAGCUAAUGAUCCAUUCAUUUGUUAACUCAUUAAAAUUCAAUCGGUUCAAAUUCAGGUCAACUCUCCUAUACCAAACUUCUAGUAGAUCUUAAUCAAUAAAAAUUUGGACACGAAAACAAUUCAUUCAUUUCAUCCAUCAAAUUAUUAAUAAGUGACACCAUCUUAGCGACCCAGUUCAUUGUAUUAUAUUAAGAAAAAAUAACUUAAAUACACAAUUAUAAGUUUUAUAUUUUCUAAUUUUCCCUUCUUUUUUUUAAAUAUUACAUAAUUUCCUUUUUUUAAAAUUUUAGUGUAAGUUUAUAGAUACAUUACAUUCUCUCUCCUAUAGUACACAAUUACCCAUUUUAAUGCCUAUUUAUUCUCCAUUAAAACACUCAACCUUUUAAAUAAAAGACCUAAUUUUGAAUUUCAAAAUUCAAAAAAUUUCAAAUUUCAAAAAUCAGGUUCUCCCGUUUUUCUUACUCCAUCAAGUUUCACUUCCUUUUUUUCCAUAAUCAUCUUCCUUCUUCUUAACCUAGCAGAAUUUAUUGGUUUCUUCUUUUUAUUCUUAAUCCAUCAUCUUUUUCUUCUUAAUCUGUAAUCGUCUUAACCCAAUAUCUUUUUAUUAUUAAUCCAUCAUCAGUUCGUCUUUUCUUCUCUUUUUUCUUUUUGUUAAUUGUUCUAUUACAUUAUAGUAAUGGAUCCGUUAAUUAAUAGAAGGAUAUAUGAUUCCGACGAUGAAAAUUGGAAAGAAAAUAGGAAAAAGUUUUUGCAUGAUCCUAUGAAUCUUCAGAAGGAUUCAAACAAAGACUCUGGCGAAACAUCAAAAUCAAAGGUUAUCAAAAUACAACAAAAAAAGAAAAAAGAAGCAGCAAACAUUGUUGUUAGGCCUACAUUGUCUCGGGUUAGUAUUUUGGUACUUAAAACUGUUGUUGAAAUUAGUAAAAAUUUUAAGGAAUCUAGUGUGCUUGCCGAUACAUUUGAAUAAGUGUGUAUAGUGUUUUAGAGGUGAAUUGAUACAUGAAUUUAUUGUGUAUCAUAAUAUUUUAUAUGUAUCAUGAAGUUUUGAAAAUUGUUAUAAUGUAUCAUUCAAUAAGUUUAGUAAAUACGUCAUCAACUGUGCUUGAUGAUACAUAUAGAAUCAGUGUGUACGGUGUUUAGUCAAUUCACUGAUACAUGUAGGAGAUAUGUAUCACAUGUUUUGCAUAUAGUAUGAAUUUCUGAAAACUGAUAUCAUGUAUCAGUAAGGUAUUAGUUGUUUAGUUGAUGUACUGAUACAUGUUUGAAAAUUGUUAUAAUGUAUCAUUCACUAAGUUUAAUAAAUGCGUCAUCAACUGUACUUGAUGAUACAUAUAGAAUCAGUGUGUAUAUUGUUUAGUCGAUGUUUCUGAUACAUGCAUUAGAUACGAAAUUGAAUCUCCAACAACGAUUCCGUCGAUUUUGUAACUUUCAUACUGCAAUUCGUUCACCUAAAUUCCGGAAUGUCUCAUCAAAAUCGAAGUAUUCAUCUUGAAAAAUCCACUGUAACAACAAUAAAAUUACUGUAGUUCGAAAUUUAACAGAUUGUUCAAAAAAAUUGUUUUCAAAAUAGAUGACAUAAUCUUUGUUUUUCAAAAUUUGAAAUUAAUAUCCAAUUAAGUGCUUAUUUUAUGCUGAUUAAUGAUAUGUUACCGUAAAUUUAGCUGUUUUAUUAACAACAUUAACUGUACCGUUUUCCCCCUUUUUUUUCUCAACAGUUUAAAAUUACCAUGUAUCAUUUACCUUGUAUCACGAGAGUCUAAAGUAUCACGGCUCAACAAAUUUAAGAGAUUUUUUGUAAAUACUAAAUUUGUCUGGACAAAAUGAAAUUAUUGAAUUACACUAUAGGAUUCCUUAAAUUUUUACUUAUAUUAAUCUUUAGUAUGGGGACCUAAAUAUUUAACUUUCCAAUUCCUUUAGGGGUCAAUUUGAUUGAUUAUAAUGAGUGAAUUAUACUAUAAAAAUUGAAAUAAUAAUUAAUGUUUGUAGAGCAUAUUAAAUUAUUUUAUCAUGACUACAGUUGGUGUUAAUUGAAUUGGAAAUAAGAUAUAUACGGUAUAUAAUAUAUAUAGAAAUUUUAAUUUGAUUCGUUGAUUUUGUAUUUUCAGACAAAUUUUAUUUUUAAUUUUACCUUUCUUAAAGAACUUUUAGUUUGGUUGUUUUAUCAUGGAAUUAGCUAAUUAUUAAUCUAGAGAAUUGCUAUUCCAUAUACAACUUUGGUACAAUUAGAGAAUUAUAAUAUAAUUAAUUUCAAAAUUACUUAUAUUUAGGAACAAAAGUUUCAAUCAAACGAUAAAUAAUUGAAUAUUUUAUCUCAGAAUUAGUAUUAUUAUUAUUAAUACUAAUUAACGAUCCUAAGUUUCGAUUUUGUCACUCCGGUCCUUUUCUUUUAAUCUUUUCACAAACCAACUACAUUUGAUUGCAUUAACUAUAAAGUCCAUUUGCAUUAUUUUACAUAUCAAUUAAUAUUACUAAACUAAAUUUAUCUAUAAUUACUGAUUUAAAUGUAUACCUAUUUUCUCACCAACAUGGCAUAUAUAUUAGACUCAUUAAAAUUAAACGUUGCUUCAUGUGGUGUGUUCAAUUGGUUAGACUAUCUCGUCAAAUAUAUUGUUCGCAAAUAAACAAUGCUCAAAUGAAUGAUAUUAAUGUUGUUGGUGAAUAUUACAAGCUUCUCGUAACGUUUUGUUAGCUUACGUAUGAAUGUGCAAUAUUAUUUCUACUUAUUUUGUCAAACACUAAAAAAGUAAGUAAAAAACUUGUUUAUGUGAGAUAAUAUUUUUCUUUGUACCUAAAAAGUGCAUUAAUUUAUAUAGCUAAAAUAGUGCAAAGUUGAGGCCUCCACGCAUUAUUUUUGGUGAGAAGAAGAAUGAGAAGACUUUCUAUCUCUUUGAAUUAUUGCAUCACAAACAGUAUAGCUGCCUUAAUAGUUUAUUCAUUUGCUUAGCUUAAUGCCUCUAUCCAUCAAAUUAAAUAUACAACUAACAAGACAAAACCAAAUGAAAAUGCAUAACUCUAGGAUUUUACCUACAUUUGUAUAAAUUUUGGUAAGGGUAUCUGUCUAAAUGAAAACUAUAUAAAGGGGUUUGAGUGAAGCUUAAGAUGACAACAACUUUCUCCUUUGUUUCGAAUAUGGGGAAAAUGGCCUUUCUAGUUGCCACCCUUUUAGUGGUUUUAGUGUCACUUAGCUUAGCAUCUGAAAUUUCAGCUAAUUAUCAAUACUCAUCUCCCCCACCACCAAAGGAGCCAUACCACCCUUCACCAACACCAUAUCAUCCCACACCAGUUUACAAUUCUCCACCACCACCAAAAGAGCCAUACUACCCUCCACACACUCCAGUGUACAAGUCGCCACCACCCUCGACACCUAUUUACAAGUCGCCACCACCACCCAAAGAGCCAUACUACCCUCCACACACCCCUGCCUACAAGUCACCACCUCCACCAACUCCAGUUUACAGGUCGCCACCACCUCCCAAGGAGCCAUACUAUCCUCCACACACACCAACCUACAAGUCGCCACCUCCACCAACUCCCGUUUACAAGUCACCACCACCUCCAAAGGAACCAUACUACCCUCCACAUGCACCAACCUACAAGUCGCCACCACCUCCCAAGGAGCCAUACUACCCUCCCCACACCCCAACCUACAAGUCCUCACCUCCACCAACUCCGUUUUACAAUUCACCACCACCUCCCAAGGAACCAUACUACCCUCCUCACACACCAACCUACAAGUCGCCACCCCCACACAAGGAUCCAUACUACCCUCCACACACACCAACCUAUAAGUCACCACCUCUACCAACUCCUGUUUACAAGUUGCCACAACCACCCAAGGAGCCAUAUUACCCUCCACACACACCAACCUACAAGUCACCACCUCCACCAACUCCCAUUUACAAGUCACCACCACCUCCCAAGGAGCCAUACUACCCUCCACACACACCAACCUACAAGUUACCACCUCCACCAACUCCCGUUUAUAAGUCGUCGCCACCACCAUCCAAAGAGCCAUACUACCCUCCACACACACCAACCUACAAGUCACCACCUCCACCACCUCCCGUUUAUAAGUCUCCACCACCACCCAAGGAGCCAUACUACCCUCCACACACACCGACCUACAAGUCACCACCUCCACCAACUCCCGUUUACAAGUCCCCACCACCUCCUAAGGAGCCAUACUACCCUCCACACACACCGACCUACAAGUCACCACCUCCACCAACUCCCGUUUACAAGUCCCCACCACCUCCUAAGGAGCCAUACUACCCUCCACACACACCAACCUACAAGUCACAACCUCCACUAACUCCCGUUUAUAAGUCGUCGCCACCACCACCCAAGGAGCCAUACUACCCUCCACACACACUAACCUACAAGUCACCACCUCCACCAACUCCUGUUUAUAAGUCGCCACCACCACCCAAGGAUCCAUACUACCCUCCAAACACCCCAACUUACAAGUCGCCACCUCCACCAACUCUCAUUUACAAGGUUCCACCACCAGCCAAGGAGCCAUACUACCCUCCACACACACCGACCUACAAGUCACCACCUCCACCGACUCCCCUUUAUAAGUCCCCACCACCUCCUAAGGAGCCAUACUACCCUCCACACACACCAACCUACAAGUCACCACCUCCACCAACUCCCGUUUAUAAGUCGUCGCCACCACUACCCAAGGAGCCAUACUACCCUUCACACACACCAACCUACAAGUCACCACCUCCACCAACUCCCGUUUAUAAGUCUCCACCACCAACCAAGGAUCCAUACUACCCUCCACACGCCCCAACCUACAAGUCGCCACCUCCACCACCUCCCACUUACAAGUCGCCACCACCACCAAAGGAGCCAUACUACCCUCCACACACACCAACCUACAAGUCAUCACCUCCACCAACUCUCAUUUAUAAGUUGUUGCCACCACCACCCAAAGAGCCGUACUACCCUCCACACACACCAACCUACAAGUCACCACGUCCACCAACUCCCAUUUAUAAGUCGUCGCCGCCGCCACCCAAGGAGCCAUACUACCCUCCACACACACCAACCUACAAGUCACCACCUCCACCAACUCCCGUUUAUAAGUCGCCACCACCACCCAAGGAUCCAUACUACCCUCCACACACCCCAACCUACAAGUCGCCACCUCCACCAACUCCCGUUUACAAGUCGCCACCACCACCCAAGGAGCCAUACUACCCUCCUCACACACCAACCUAUAAGUCACCACCUCCACCAAGUCCCGUUUACAAGUCGCCACCACCACCCAAGGAUCCAUACUAUCCUCCACACACCCCAACCUACAAGUCGCCACCUCCACCAACUCCCGUUUACAAGUCGCCACCACCACCCAAGGAGCCAUACUACCCUCCUCACACACCAACCUAUAAGUCACCACCUCCACCAAGUCCCGUUUACAAGUCGCCACCACCACCCAAGGAGCCAGACUACCCUCCACACACCCCAUCCUACAAGUUACCACCUCCACCAAUUCCCAUUUACAAGUCGCCACCACCACCAACUCCUGCCUACAACUCUCCUCCACCACCUUACUAUCUUUACACCUCUCCCCCUCCUCCCUACCAUUACUAAAAAGCCACUUCAUUAUAUCGAGGUAAUUAAGACAAACUAAAACUAUUACUAAUGAUGUGUCUAAAAUGCAAAGCAAUAAGUUGCUCAAUUUCCUCAUGCAAAUCAUUAAUAUAUAGACCUAUGCAGUCUAUAUUCUUAUUUGGAUAACUUUAAUUACAUGUUCUCAUUCACAAAAUUAUAUUCUUAUGCAGGAAAAGCAAAAUGUUGAGCUUAAAGAAAGGCAUUUUACAUUUUCGAGAGACGAUGAAAAAAGAAGAAAACUAUAGUAAAUAAUAAGCCCCACAUAAGUCGAAGUUCUUUUGUAGCUUCAUGUUAUCUAAGCUAGUGAUACUGUUUGUACUCUAUUAUUUAUAUUUGUAUUUUUACUUUUAUGUCUUUCUGUAUGUUUGCUCAGUUUUAAUAUCCUAGCAAAAUGCAAAGAUUAAUUAUGAGAUGAAUAAAAUAAGUUAUUACUAUUAUACAGUUUUAUGUUUUCCUUCUCUCUGAUCUAUUCGAUCUUAAUUAGUCCUUUUUUUGGUCUUAUUUCUUCAUCUUUAUAUCGAAGGCGAGGCUCAACGAUUACAUUAAAUCAAUCAUCAUACAGAUAAAAUUGAUGACAAAUUUAACGUUAAGAUAUCAUCAAAAUCUCAAUAACAAUUUACAGAUCGAAAUCUUAGUAUCGAUUGAUUAAUAACCUAAACUUUCGCCAUGAAGACUUGAAUCCCUAAUCCCGUCCUUCAUUUCCCAUAUCUCUACCCACACAUUAUCUUUUAAGAAAGAAGAAGUAACAACCAAAAUAAACAUUAUAUCUAAAGUGAUAAUAUGAUAACAAUACAAAUAGGCAACAAUACAAUUAAAGAAAAAAAAAAAAGUUACUCCCACGAUGUCAACACGUAUGCUAGACUGACCAAUAAAGUUAGACAAAUUUCAAAAUUGACAAUAGCAAAGUAUACGUACGUAGCAUAUAGCAACCAAUCAAUGAAUAAAUUAUUCCUAAAGUAGUCAUUAUCAUCUCAUAUACUAUAUUUGGUAAAAUACUAAGAUUAAGUCAACAUAAUUCAGUCUACCGUUUGGUAAUUUAUAACAAAUAGUGACAAUAUUAAUAAAGUGAUUGGUGCUCUCUUUUGGCCCACCCCCAAGAAGAUCGUGAACGCAUAUUUUAAAUUUGAUUUGAUUACCACUUUUUAAUAUCUUUAAAAUAAAACUUGUAUAUUUAAAAAAUUAAAAAUUAUUAUUAUUAUUUAAUUAUAUAAAUAAAAUAUUUUAAAAUACAUUAGUAUCUUAAUAGAGAAAAGAUUAAAAAAUUAAAAAUUAUUAUUAUUAUUUAAUUAUAUAAAUAAAAUAUUUUAAAAUACAUUAGUAUCUUAAUAGAGAAAAGAUUGUUUGUUUGAUUUUCUAAAGUAACAGAGUCGGAUGAGAUAGUUGAUUAAUUUGACGGUUUGAAUAAUAUAAUCUUCUUGAUAAAUAAUCAUCAACCCAUCAUGCAUGUUUUAUAUUUAUUGAUAGAAACUUUGAUGGAUUGAUUUGUUGGUGCCGCCUCAACAUAGAGAAAAGAAAAAGAACAAGUUAUUUCAAUCUAUUACACUUUAGAGAUUAAAAAAAACAUUUUUUAAAGCAGUGAUAAAAUUGAUAAUAAUAAGUUGUUAAUAUGUUUGGCAAAAAGAGUGUCGAUUAACUAUUUUUUGCUAUAGUAUUGAAAUAUCUUUAGAUUUUUUAACCCCCAAAAAAGGUUUAAAACUACCUCUGUAAAGAAAAGGAGUUUAUUUUUAGAAAAUAUAUCUCGAGAAAUAAAGUAAGAUAAAGGAUAAAAUCGUGAAAGAAAAAUGUUGAUAAGCAAACAAAAAAAUCAAAGUUAGGAAUGACCAAUUUAUUGAAUAUAACUAAAUUGUCUUAAAUAAGCAACUUAGCUUAUAAAUAUAUAUAUAAAAUUAUUUUUAUAUCAGUUUGAUCAAUUAAUAAUAAAUUGAUUAUGCAUGAAAUAAUAGGAAGUGUUCUAAUUAAAAAGAAUACAAGGAAAAAGGUGCAGUAUUGUGUACGAUCGACCAAACAUACAUUCGUUAUUAAUUAUUAUUAAGCUAAUUAGACAACGCUAUCUUAUUAAUUUAUUAUAGAGCUGUCGAUAUUAGUUUAGAUAAUUAAAUUAUAUAAAAUUCAUUUAAUUCAAUCAAAGCUUGACUUGUUAAAUGUUAGGUUUAUGAUAUGAUUAAUUAUAUAUAUAAUUCACUAUGAUUUUACGCGACUUGUUAAUCAAGACCUUAUUUAACAUAUUGAUUAAGUUAUUAGUUAUAUAACUAAUAAAAAUAUAUUUUAAAUAAUAAAUGGUUAUUGAGAGAAAACUUCCAUGCAAUUAUCAUAAUAAGAAACUUCUUAAGAAAUUGUCUCUAAUUAGAUAAUUGGAUGGUGACUCUUUUGUUUAAAAAAAAUUGAAUCAAUCAAGAUUUUAUUGCUAUUAAUUGUGAACUACAAUUUGUAGAAGGGGAGCAUAAACCUAGAUAUUAACUAUGCACAACAUGAGUGUGCAAGAUUAUUUUGUUUAUUUAUUUUGAUUCAAUUCAGUAUCCGAUAUUCAUAUUAGAUUCUCAAUCAAAUUUGUAUUUACAUUAAAAAAAUUCAGUGCUCCUUAACAGAGGCAACAACUCUGUACUCAGGAGAACUCGAAUUCGAGACCUCUAAACAAGAAUAAAGAAGUAUUUGUUAUUCCAUAACAAUUUUUAUUGAUAAAAGAAACUCGUAGUAUCAUGAAAAGAUAAUAGAUUAUCUAGGCCUAAUGGAAAAUUCAGUCAAGCUUUAGAGGGAAAAUUAUGGCAUAGCAAAGUUACAAACUUUAUAGUAUGAUUAACUUAAUUACAAGACCGUUAAAUUGAAUGCAACCCCAAUAACUUUUCUUUCAAUAAAUAUUUGGCCUUUGUGAGCUUUAUUUGAACUCUCUCUUCCUUCAUAAACUUGACCAUCAGCAAUAUUUUCCUUUCCUCUUUUAUUUUAUUGCUCACUCGAUAGUCAGCUUUUAAGAUUGACUUGAUGUUUCGAUAAGCGAAAGGUGUAAAUCCAGAUUAUGCUCAAGUAUCUAAGUGAUAUAUGAAUUGCAAACUUUUUGCAUAUGCAUUUGAGAAGAAAAUAAUUAUCACAAGAAAAUAAAUAAUUAGCAUGCGGUAAAUUAUUAACGUAGUUAAAUAAUGUUAUAGUCUUAUAAAUUAAAAUAAAGACAAGGCAACAAUUGUCACUAAUUAUUUGUAUUGUUAGCAACAAAAACUAAGAGAACAUAAAUAAUAUAUACUUAAUGGCUCAAUUUUACACCAUUUCACUAUAAAUAACUUUAUGUCGCUAAUUUGAUUACAUAUUUUUGUGACGAAACUUAUUUUGUAUCCAAACUUAAACGAAUUUAAAGAUAAAUAUGAUUUAUCAUAAAUAUUCAGUAAAAACAGGGAGAAAAUUUAUCAUCAUCAAUAUCCUCAAUUUCGUCGCUAAAAUUACCUUACAAUUUGAUUUAAUUAUAAAUUGAAAAUCAAAUUUAAAAAUGAUUAAAUUUGUGAUGUUGGUGCAAAAUGCACGUAUCAAAUUAAACCCACCUUUAGGUCUAAGAAAAUGGUGAGCACAUCUUAACCAUUAUUCUUCAACUCAUUUCAUCUCUUCCUCAAUUAAUUAUGCAAAUAAUAAAAAUAUUUCUUUUUCCAUUCAAUGUCUGUGUUUUAUAUUGAAGUUCCAAUUAACUCUAGAUUAGAAACCGGAGGCGAGGGCACAUUUAAAGGUGAUGCUUCCUAUACGACUCAUGUAGUAAAAAAAAUUAUAAAAAAAACCACCACAAUAAUUAUAUACGCUUCAAAAAAAAGAAGAGAAUAGAAUAGCAUCCUAUUCAUAGAGAAAACUAUACUUGAUAGUUAACUGGUAGCAAAACUUUUGCACAAGAUUAAUUAUAUUUGUAUAGUUGAUUUAUUCAAGGUUUUAAUUAGAAGAGGUCUAGGAUUCUAUUUAUUUUUAUCCAUAUUUUUUAAACAAUAAAUUUGCUACAAAAGGAUGUCUGUGACAAAUCAUGUCUCCUAAAUAUAAGCACUUGUGUGAAGGUUAGUUGAGUGUAAAGUUGAGGCAUCCACGCAUUUUUUUUUUCAAAGGUUCUGUAAAAAGAAAACAAGAUUUUGUAGCUCUUUGAAUCAUUCUGUCACAAACAGUAUAGUUCCCUUAAUAGUUUAUACAUUUGCUUAGGAUGAUGCCUCUAUAUAUCUAUCAAAUUAAAUAUACAAACUAAAGUCAAAAUUGAGCCAACAACAUGUCAAGACUAAAUAAACAUAUGCAUAACUCUACCAUAUUACCUACAUUUGUAUAAAUUUUGGUAAGGGUAAUUUCUAAAUGAAGUCUAUAUAAAGGGGUUUGGGUGAAGCUUAAGAGGACAAAAACUUCUCUCCUUUGUUUCAAAUAUAGGGAAAAUGGCCUCUCUAGUUGCAACUCUUUUAGUGGUUUUAGUGUCACUUAGCUUACCAUCCGAAAGUUCAGCUAAUUAUCAAUACACAUCUCCCCCACCACCAAAGGAGUCAUACCACCCUUCACCAACACCUUAUCAUCCCGUACCACUUUACAAGUCUCCACCACUGCCAACUCCAGUUUACAAUUUUCCACCACCACCCAGAGAGACGUACUACCCUCCACACACUCCAGUGUACAUGCCGUCACCACCCUCGACACAAAUUUACAAGUCGCCACCACCACCCAAGGAGCCAUAUUACCCUCCACACACCCCAACCUACAAGUCGCCACCUCCACCAACUCCUAUUUACAAGUCUCCACCGCCGCCAACUCCCUUUUACAAUUCUCCACCACCACCCAAGGAGCCAUACUACACUUCGCCACCUCCACCAACUCCUACUUACAAGUACCCACCGCCACCAACUCCGGUUUACAAUUCUCCACCACCACCUAAGGAGCCAUACUACCCUCCACACACCCCAACCUACAAGUCGCCACCUCCACCAACUCCUGCUUACAAGUCUCUACCGCCGCCAAUUCCAGUUCACAAUUCUCCACCAUCACCCAAGGAGCCAUACUACCCUCCACACACCCCAACCUACAAGUCGCCACCUCCACCAACUCCUGCUUACAAGUCUCUACCGCUGCCAAUUCCAGUUCACAAUUCUCCACCAUCACCCAAGGAGCCAUACAACCCUCCACACACCCCAACCUACAAGUCGCCACCUCCACCAACUCUUGCUUACAAGUCUCCACCGCCACCAACUCCGAUUUACAAUUCUCCACCACCACCCAAGGAGCCAUACUACCCUCCACAUACCCCAACCUACAAGUCGCCACCUCCACCAACUCCCAUUUACAAGUCGCCACCGUCACCAACUCCGGUUUACGAUUCUCCACCACCACCCAAGGAGCUAUACUACCCUCCACACACCUCAACCUACAAGUCGCCACCACCACCGAAUGAGCCAUACUACCCUCCACACACACCAACAUACAAGUCGCCACCUCCACCAAUUCCAAUCUACAAGUCACCACCUCUUCCAACUCCUAUUUACAAGUCGCCACCACCACCCAAGGAGCCAUACUACCCUCCACAUACUCCACUUUCACCGUCUUCAGUUUAUAAGUCUCCACCUCCACCAACUCAUGUUUACAAGUCGCCGCCACCACCUAUAGAGCCAUACUACCCUCCACACACCCCAAUCUAUAAGUCGCCACCUCCACCGAUUCCUGUUUACAAUUCACCACCUCCACUAACUCCAGUUUAUAAGUCACCACCACCACCCAAAGAGCCUCACUACCCUCCACACACCCCAGUGUAUAAGUCACCACCACCACCCAAGGAGCCAUACUAUUCUCCACAAAAUCCAGUCUACAAGUCGCCACCUCCACCAACUCCCAGUUACAAGUCGCCAACACCACCCAAGGAGCCAUAUUAUCCUCCACAUACCCCAACUUACAAGUCACCACCUCCACCAACUCCAGUAUACAAGUCGCCGCCACCACCCAAGGAGCCAUACUACCCUCCACACACCCCGACCUACAAGUCGCCACCACCACCGAAGGAGUCAUACUAUCCUCCACACACCCCAACCUACAAGUCACCACCUCCACCAACUCCUGUUUCCAGCUCUCCACCACCACCAACUCCAGUCUACAAGUUUCCACCACCAACAGAUUAUGUUUACACCUCUCCCCCUCCUCCCUACUAUUACUAAGAAGAGAUUUCAUUAUAUCUAAGGUAAUUAAACCAAACUAAAACUUUUAAUUAUGAUAUGUCUAUAGAAGUUGCACAAUUUCUUCGUUCGAAUAAUUAAUAUAGACCUGUAUACUGUCUACAUCUUAUUUGGUUUAGGUUCUAUUAUAUGUUCUCAUUCACAAUACUAAUUAUAUUCUUAUGCAGGAAAGAUGCAGAAUGUUGAGCUAAAAGAAAAUAAGCCCACACAGGAGGCAAAGUUUUUUUGUAGCUUCAUUUUGUAUAAGUUAUUGUUUGUACCCUAUAUUAUAUUUAUAUUUUACUUCUAUUUAUUUGUGUAAUAUGUUUGUUCGAUCUCCUUGCAACAUGCAGCCAUUAUGAGAUGUAUAAAAUAUGUUAUUACUAUAUAUACUGUCUUUUUUCUUAUUUUUGUCAUCCCUUAUAUUGAGUUAUAUUUAUAAGUUGAGCCUCUUAUCAAUUACAUUAAAUCAGUUGCUAUAAAAAAUGUGGUUUUUCACCACCAAUAAGUUCAACGAUAAGCUACAAUCAACUGGGAAUAUUAGUAGCUUCAAUAGAAAAUGUUAAUAGCUCCGUUGAUUAGUUAUUUGAACUUUUUAUCUUUAUUACACGUCGCAAUAACAAUCAAUGUAAAUAUUAUAUCUAACCUCUGGACUUAUGCCCACAUAAUUCCUCAAUGCACCCACACAAAAUAUUGAAAUUAAAUAUUAUUACUUGCCUAUUUCUCUUAUCUUGAUUAUUAGUUUUCAGGGAUGAAAGUUUAAUUGUUACACCUUUCACUUUUUUAAAAAAAAAAAAAAGGAAUGGACAACCAACUGAUUUCGUAUCUGAUUGUAGUUGUUGAAGGCAUAUUGUAAUAAUUAAAUUUUCGUUUUUGAAAAAUAAUAAUCAAAAAAUAGAAAAUAUCAAUAAAUAAUAAUAUUUAAUUUUAUUUAUUUGUGCACGAUUUAACAAUCAUUAGAGAUUUCACACUAAAAUGUUUAAUUUUUUUGUUUUUUCUUUUUUUCUCUUCAUGACUAUCAACUCAAAAGUUUUGCUUUUUACCUGAAUUGAUGGAAUACUUGUUGAAAGUUUACCACGAAUGCAUAAUCAAUUUUUAAUCACAUUCGAGGAGGCAUAAAACGACUCACAACUUGAAGGCAAAAAAGAGUUGUAUGCAGAAGACUGCAAAUCAUUAUUGAAUAUUUUUUUAUAUAGGCAUCAGCUAGGGUUUGAAAUAUUUGAUCUAAUCGACUUUAGGUUUGAGAAUAUGAGUUGUGUUGGAUUAGACUUGUAAAUUUAAUAAUGGACUAACCUAAAUUUAAUCGAAAAAUUACCUAACUACAUAUAUAUUUUUUUAUCCUAUUUUCUAUUAUUUCAUAUAAUUUAUAAAAAUUACAAAAAUCUUUUUUUUCUCUCAAAUUCGCUCCUUUCAAGAUUCAUAACUUUAAAUCUUCCAACUCACAAUUUCUCCUUUUUCUCAGGCCUAUAAUCGCUCUACUAUAUUACUAGUUACCUUCAUCUCCUAUAUUUUGAAUUUUAGAUAUUUUUCUCUCUCCCGUUUAUAAUUUAAUUGAGUAUGUAUCAUAUGUUUGUUAUGUAUGUGAAGUACUAUUUUAUAACUAAAUCAUUGUUUAUCAUAUUCAUAAGUUUUUUUUAUAUGAUACAUAGCUAUGUCAAAUUAUACCGGCAUGAUACAUAAAUACUAAUUUAUGCUACAUGUAACGAUCUCAAAUCAAACAACUUAUGAGCAACAAUUACAUGUUAAAUGUAUCCCGUAACAAUACGAUACUUAUUAAUUUAAACGAGAUAAAUAAAUAGUAAUGUAUCAUGUAUUAGUUUUUAGAUGUGAUACAUAAAUUCGAAUUUGGACUACAUGUAUUAAUUACAUAGAAACUACCACGCGGUGAUGUAUCCAUCACAAAUGUAACAUCUUAUGGGCAACAAUUACUUAUUUAAUGUAUCUACUAUAAAUACAAUACUAAUCAAUUGAGACGAGAUACACAAAUAGUAAUGUAUCAUGCAAAAAAAUUUUUUACUUGAUAUGUGAAUUCGAAUUUAUACUAAAUGUAUCAAUUACAUAGCAACUACCACAUUGUAAUGUAUCGAUCUCGAAUUCAACAUCUUAUGGACUAUAAUUAUUUAUUUAGUGUAUUUAGUAUAAAUACAAUACUUAUCAAUUUAAACAAGAUACAUAAAAGUAAAAUGCUAAGUAGACAAGAUAUUCAUGAUAAUAUUCUCAAUUUUUUUGAGAUUCUUCAAUAAACUAGGAGAAGAAUUCUGAAUCUCAAAAUUUACAACAAUUUUGAAUCAAAAUUAAAAAGAUCUUUGAUGAACUGGAGAACAAAGAAUCUUAAUCUCAAAAUUUUUAACAAUCUUGAAUCAAAACUGAAAGGAAUAUCUUUGAUGAUCUUGAAGAUUCAAAAGAAAAUUGUUUAUCCAACAACAAUUUUGUCACUUUUGUAUCAUUCAUAAUUCACUUCGCUUACCCAAAAUUUCGACAAAAGUUUUUGGAUCAAAUGUGAAAGGUUUCUUUGUUGAACGGGGGGAUCAACUAGAAAUUUUAAAUUUCUUCGUUCUGUAUGGAUUUGAUUCUGUAUGAUUGAGAGUAAAAAGAAAUAUAAGCGUAAUUUAUGGAAUUUAAUUAGUUUUCAGAUUUUAUUUUCUUUUUAGCGCAACAGAAAGAUUCUUUUUGUAUUAAAAUUAGUGUAUCUAGAUGGUGGUGACUUAUGUAUUUGUUGAAGGAAGCUGAUGGAACAGGUUUGGUAGUAUAUGACUUUUUUCCUAUAUAAGGAUGAUGUAACUCAAUCAUUCAUUCAUCAAUAUAAUCCUUGAUUCUUCACAUACAUAUCUGUGAGAAUUCUACAUCCGAAAGGUACAAAUUUUAACGGAUCAUUUUAUUAGAAAAAAAUAGAGAUAAAAUAUAAUGUAUUCUUUACAUUACGAAGUUUACGUAAGUUAAUCAAAUUUGAUUAAACUUCCCUUAAAUCAUAAAAGUUUAACUUAAUAUUAUUCCAACUUUAUUAUAGAUAUAUAUAAUUGGAAAAAAAAACAAACAAAAUAGAACAUAAGAUCUCGAUCGCUGGACAAAUGUUUGUCUAUAAUAAAUAAAUAUGUCGGUAAUAAUUAUUGACUAGGUCAAUGUAGCUAAGGUUUGUACUUGUUUAUACUUACAUCCUAUCUCUUGGGACGAUUAAAAAAAUAUUAGUUUAGCUUAUUUAAUAAUGGAAUCUUAUAUGGAGUUUACUAAUUUUAUCUUUGUCGGUGAUUAAGUUAUACAAAUGAUUAAUUAUUUUUCUAAUUAAAAAGUCAAAAGUCAUUAUUGGAUGAACCAAGAAUCUUCCAUGUAUUUGAAUACUUUUUCUGUCUCCCUUAAAUCGUGAUGGCUUUUUUGUAAGUUAAAUAAUAAAAAAUUUUAUUAAUGUUUUGUUGAUAUAAGAAAUUAUAAAAUAAGUAUUUUUGUAUAAUAUAUUUAAAUUUUUAAUUUAAAUUUAAAUUUUAAAAAUUAGUUAUAUUAACUGUUAAAAAACCGUACAACGACUAAAACGGGACGGCUUGUUCUCUUCUUUCUUUUAUUAUAAAUAAAAAUAAAAAUUUAACUAAUGUGCAAUCAAUAAUGUUAAUUAUUUAUUCAAAGUUUAAAUUAAACACAUAAAAGUGAAAAGUAUAAAGCCUUCAACCGAUUCGAUUCAUUUAAUUAUGUUUCUUAAGAUAUUCCAUAUUUUCAAAUUUUAAAGAGAACUAUAAAUUCCUACAUUUAAAACUACAUACAUUAUUAAAAUGUGCCUAUAUAACACGCAUUUAAAUUAGUUGUGCUCAAAUAUAGAUAUCAAACAAGGAAUAAAACAUAAAGUGAAUUACUUAAACUAUAAUUAUAUAUUAAGUAAUUAAAUCAAAUCGUGUAAUUUAAUUAAUUAUACUACCAAAAUAUUAACUUCAACGAUAUGAAGUAACGCAAUGUACCUUUAAAGUUUCACAAAAUUUAAUUAGGUUGUAAGGUUUGAUUCUUGAAAUUUAGAAAUUAUUUUCAAGUGAUUUGAGUACAUUGAAAGUACCUAAGUCAAUAAAGUCAAAAAUAAAUUAAUUUUUACUUUGUAUCGUGACCUGUAUUCUACAUCUUGUGUGUUCCCACGAUAAUAAACUAAGAUACCAAAAAUUUCAUAGAUAUUAUAUUUAAUCAUAUAAAUUUUUUCAAUAUUGAGCUACAUAAUCCGUUGAAUUUUUUGCCCUCUAUUCCCACCUAAAACUAAAAAGAAAGAACAACAUUAAUUGCUUUAUUUAGUAAUGAAAGUGGGUCAUUAUAUAUAUAUAUAUAUAUAUAUAUAUAUAUAUAUAUAUAUAUAUAUAUAUAUAUAUAUAUAUAUUAUUUUAUUUUAUUUUAUUUUAUUUUUUUGACAACUAGGGAAACCUGAGCCGCUAUCCUAUAAAAUAGCUCGCAAAUCACAUAGGAGAGGUAACCUGCACUAGGCAAGCCUGGUGCAACGAGCUUGACCCAGAAGGCAAAUCUCUUGCUUUCGCUGGCAAGGGGUUUCAAACUUGAGACCUCCAAUAUGGAAGUUUCAAGCUCAAACCAUUGGGCCACCCCGAAGGGUUAUAUAUAUAUAACUUUUAGUAAUAUUAGAUAUUGACAUUAAUAAAGAGUGUUAAAGUCUUUAUCGGUAUCAGUUAAGUGUCAUUAGAACCAAUGUUGCUAAAGGCUUUAGGGACACAUACAAAGAAAGUUAUUGCCGCUAAAAACACUUAUUUGGCGACGUUUGAAAAUUAAUUGCCAAUAAUGAUUAUUUUUAAUAUAGUGUAUAUAUGUAUUAUUGUUUUAAAUCUCUAUACUAUUUAAGCACUAAAGGUAAUUAAAGGUUAGUUUAUCAAUCAAAAUCAAAAAAAAAUAAAUUGUUACUCCCUUAGUUCGUUUCAUAGUAGUUGAUCAUCUUACUAAAAAUAAUUGUUACACAUUAAUUGUCCAUCUUAUUAAAUCAAGAAAUCAAUAAUUAAUUUUUUCCUAUAUUAUCUAUUCAGAUAAUUCUUUUGAAAGUAUUAACAUUUGUUUGUAAAAUGUAAAAGAAGUUUUCAAGGGGUGAAUUAAUAAAAUUAUCUAGCUAGUUAAUAAAAAUGAUGGGUGAAAUAAUAUUAUCUAGCUACUUAAUAAAAAUAAUCAACUAAUAUGAGACACAUAAAAAUAGAAUUCUUCAAAUAUUUUGUAACAAAAAAAAAAAGAAAAAAGGCAGUGUACACUGAUUUUUGUAACUAAAAAUCGUGCGAAGUUGAGGGAUGCACGCAUUUUUUUCAAAGAUUUUGUAUGUAUGUAAUGUAAAAGCUUGGAAGAAAAAGAAGACUUUGUAGCUCUUUGAAUUAUUGCAUCACAAGAUGUAAAGAAAAUUGUAUGGUUGUCUUAAUAGUUUAUACAUUUUUGCUUAGCUUGCACCCUCUAUCCAAUAAAUAAAGUCAAAUUGAGCCAACAACAUGACAAAACCAAUUAUAAAAAUGAAUAAAAACUUUACCUACAUUUAUGUAAAUCUUGGUAAGGGUAAUUGUCGAAAUGAAAGCUAUAUAAAGGGGUUUGAGUGAAACUUAAAGAGGACACCAACUUCUCUUCUUUGGUUUCAAAUAUGGGGAAAAUGGCCUCUCUAGUUGCUACUCUUUUAGUGGUUUUAGUGUCACUUAGCUUUGCUUCCGAAAGCUCAGCAAACUAUCAAUACUCAUCUCCUCCACCACCAAAGAAGCCAUACCACCCUUCACCAACACCUUAUCAUCUCGCACCAGUUUACAGAUCACCACCACCACCAACUCCACUUUACAAGUCACCACCACCACCUAAGGAGCCACACUAUCCUCCACACACCCCGGUUUACAAGUCGCCACCUCCUCCAGCUCCAAUUUACAAGUCACCACCACCACCGGUGAAGCCAUACCAUCCAGCACCAGUUUAUAAGUCACCACCACCCCCUACGCCUGUUUACAAGUCACCACCACCACCAGUGAAGCCACACCAUCCUGCACCAGUAUACAAGUCUCCACCACCACCAACUCCAGUUUAUAAGUCACCACCUCCUCCAACACCCGUUUACAAGUCACCACCACCACCAGUGAAGCCAUACCAUCCUGCACCAGUAUACAAGUCACCACCACCUCCAACACCCAUUUACAAGUCACCACCACCACCAGUGAAGCCAUACCAUCCUGCACCAGUAUACAAGUCACCACCACCUCCAACACCCGUUUACAUGUCACCACCACCACCAGUGAAGCCAUACCAUCCUGCACCAGUAUACAAGUCACCACCACCUCUAACACCCGUUUACAAGUCACCACCACCACCAGUGAAGCCAUACCAUCCUGCACCAGUAUACAAAUCUCCACCACCACCAACUCCAAUUUACAAGUCACCUCCACCACCAGUGAAGCCAUACCAUCCUGCACCAGUAUACAAGUCUCCACCACCACCAACUCCAGUUUAUAAGUCACCACCACCACCGGUGAAGCCAUACCAUCCUACACCUGUGUACAAGUCUCCACCACCACCAACUCCUGUUUACAUGUCCCCACCACCACCAGUGAAGCCAUACCAUCCUACACCUGUGUACAAUUCUCCACCACCACCAACUCCCGUUUACAUGUCCCCACCACCACCAGUGAAGCCAUAUCAUCCUACACC